UGGGGAAUUUUGGACAAUGGGGGAAACCCUGAUCCAGCCAUCCCGCGUGUGCGAUGAAGGCCUUCGGGUUGUAAAGCACUUUUGGCAGGAAAGAAACGUCAUGGGUUAAUACCCCGUGAAACUGACGGUACCUGCAGAAUAAGCACCGGCUAACUACGUGCCAGCAGCCGCGGUAAUACGUAGGGUGCAAGCGUUAAUCGGAAUUACUGGGCGUAAAGCGUGCGCAGGCGGUUCGGAAAGAAAGAUGUGAAAUCCCAGAGCUCAACUUUGGAACUGAAUUUUUAACUGCCGGGCUAGAGUGUGUCAGAGGGAGGUGGAAUUCCGCGUGUAGCAGUGAAAUGCGUAGAUAUACGGAGGAAAACCGAUGGCGAAGGCAGCCUCCUGGGAUAACACUGACGCUCAUGCACGAAAGCGUAGGGAGCAAACAGG
rnacentral:rRNA from 1 species